CCUUCCAGGCGCGGCCAGCGGGGGCAAGAGCGAGGUGGCUGCGAGGAGGCGUCACUGAAAGCCCUGACUUGGGGAAGGCUGCGGGCUCGGAGCCGGAGACGCCGAGCUGGGGCCGGGUGGCAUUUUUCUGAAACUGUUGAUUAAGACUUCCCAGCAUUCCUACAGAUAUAAAUAGGUGAGGCCGCAGGCGGUGCUCUGGGUCCGGGAGCGCUGUCCCCAGCAUGAACGCGGCCGGCGGCGGGAGUGAAUGACUGCAGCUGCGACUUCCUUCCCGGGCCGCCCGAGCCUCCUUCCCCACCGACUUUCUUGUUUUGAUUAACUCCGUGGACUCCUGACUCUUUCUUCGCCCGGAACAUCAAUAUGUGUCAUGUCAUUGUCACCUGUCGCUCGAUGCUCUGGACCUUGCUGAGUAUUGUGGUGGCUUUUGCCGAGCUCAUUGCCUUCAUGAGUGCAGACUGGCUGAUCGGGAAAGCGAGGAGCCGCGGCGGGGUGGAGCCGGCGGGCCCGGGCGGGGGCUCCCCGGAGCCCUACCACCCCACCCUGGGCAUCUACGCCCGCUGCAUCCGGAACCCAG
rnacentral:sRNA from 1 species